GUGGAGGACCGAACCCACCAGGGUUGAAAACCUGGGGGAUGAACUGUGGGUAGGGGUGAAAGGCCAAUCAAACUCCGUGAUAGCUGGUUCUCCCCGAAAUGCAUUUAGGUGCAGCGUUGCGUGUUGCUUGCCGGAGGUAGAGCUACUGGUUGGUUGAGCGGGACUACAAUCUUAGCAAUGUCAGCCAAACUCCGAAUGCCGGUUUAAGUUAGCGCAGCAGUGAGACUGUGGGGGAUAAGCUUCAUAGUCGAGAGGGAAACAGCCCAGAUCGCCGGCUAAGGCCCCUAAGCGUGUACUAAGUGGAAAAGGAUGUGGGAUCGCGAUGACAGCCAGGAGGUUGGCUUAGAAGCAGCCAUCCUUGAAAGAGUGCGUAAUAGCUCACUGGUCGAGUGGUUCUGCGCCGACAAUGUAGUGGGGCUCAAGUACACCGCCGAAGCCGCGGCAAUGAUUCUUUUGAGGAUUGUUGGGUAGGGGAGCGUCGUGCACAGCUGUGAAGCAGUACCGUGAGGGGCUGUGGAGUGUGUGCGAGUGAGAAUGCAGGCAUGAGUAACGAUUUGGCAAGUGAGAAUCUUGUCCGCCGGAUGACUAAGGGUUCCUGGGUCAAGUUCGUCUUCCCAGGGUGAGUCGGGUCCUAAGGCGAGGCCGACAGGCGUAGUCGAUGGUUAACGGGUUGAUAUUCCCGUACCCGUAUAUGUGCGUCCAUGGUGAAUCAGUGAUACUAACCAUCCACAAGUCUUCCGCUGCUGUCUUUGAUGGUGGUGGUUGGGGCGUGCGUGGAGCCUGAUCUGGUAGUAGCUAAGUGAUGGGGUGACGCAGUGGGGUAGCUGAGCCACUUAUUGGAUUGUGGUGCAAGCGUGUAGGGCGAUCGGUAGGUAAAUCCGCCGGUCAUGAUGCCUGAGGCGUGAUGCGUAGCCCCUUUUUGGGGUGAUGUUGGUGAUCCCGUGCUGUCGAGAAAAGCCUCUAGCGAGUGCAUAUAUGGCCCGUACCCUAAACCGACACAGGUAGUCAGGUAGAGAAUACUAAGGCGUUCGGGUGAACUGUGGUUAAGGAACUCGGCAAAAUGCCCCCGUAACUUCGGGAGAAGGGGGGCCGGAACCGUGAUGGGAUUUACUCCCGGAGCGGGAAAGGCCGCAGAGACCAGUGGGAAGCGACUGUUUACUAAAAACACAGGUCCGUGCCAAGUCGCAAGACGAUGUAUACGGACUGACGCCUGCCCGGUGCUGGAAGGUUAAGAGGACCUGUUAGCUGUUAAAGGCGAAGCGGAGAAUUUAAGCCCCAGUAAACGGCGGUGGUAACUAUAACCAUCCUAAGGUAGCGAAAUUCCUUGUCGGGUAAGUUCCGACCUGCACGAAUGGCGUAACGAUGGCGGCGCUGUCUCCACCCGAGACUCAGUGAAAUUGAAAUCGCUGUGAAGAUGCAGUGUAUCCGCGGCUAGACGGAAAGACCCCGUGAACCUUUACUAUAGCUUUGCACUGGACUUUGAAUUUGCUUGUGUAGGAUAGGUGGGAGGCUUUGAAGCGUGGACGCCAGUUCGCGUGGAGCCAACCUUGAAAUACCACCCUGGCAACUUUGAGGUUCUAACUCAGGUCCGUUAUCCGGAUCGAGGACAGUGUAUGGUGGGUAGUUUGACUGGGGCGGUCUCCUCCUAAAGAGUAACGGAGGAGUACGAAGGUGCGCUCAGACCGGUCGGAAAUCGGUCGUAGAGUAUAAAGGCAAAAGCGCGCUUGACUGCGAGACAGACACGUCGAGCAGGUACGAAAGUAGGUCUUAGUGAUCCGGUGGUUCUGUAUGGAAGGGCCAUCGCUCAACGGAUAAAAGGUACUCCGGGGAUAACAGGCUGAUACCGCCCAAGAGUUCAUAUCGACGGCGGUGUUUGGCACCUCGAUGUCGGCUCAUCACAUCCUGGGGCUGAAGCCGGUCCCAAGGGUAUGGCUGUUCGCCAUUUAAAGUGGUACGCGAGCUGGGUUUAGAACGUCGUGAGACAGUUCGGUCCCUAUCUGCCGUGGACGUUUGAGAUUUGAGAGGGGCUGCUCCUAGUACGAGAGGACCGGAGUGGACGAACCUCUGGUGUUCCGGUUGUCACGCCAGUGGCAUUGCCGGGUAGCUAUGUUCGGAAGAGAUAACCGCUGAAAGCAUCUAAGCGGGAAACUUGCCUCAAGAUGAGAUCUCACUGGAACCUUGAGUUCCCUGAAGGGCCGUCGAAGACUACGACGUUGAUAGGUUGGGUGUGUAAGCGCUGUGAGGCGUUGAGCUAACCAAUACUAAUUGCCCGU
rnacentral:rRNA from 1 species